UUCGGCAGAUUUGGUUUAAUCCUAGUGGCGGACGGGUGAGUAACGCGUGGGUAACCUGCCUUAUACAGGGGGAUAACAGUCAGAAAUGGCUGCUAAUACCGCAUAAGCGCACAGGGCCGCAUGGCCCGGUGUGAAAAACUGAGGUGGUAUAAGAUGGACCCGCGUUGGAUUAGCCAGUUGGCAGGGUAACGGCCUACCAAAGCGACGAUCCAUAGCCGGCCUGAGAGGGUGAACGGCCACAUUGGGACUGAGACACGGCCCAGACUCCUACGGGAGGCAGCAGUGGGGAAUAUUGCACAAUGGGGGAAACCCUGAUGCAGCGACGCCGCGUGAAGGAAGAAGUAUCUCGGUAUGUAAACUUCUAUCAGCAGGGAAGAAAAUGACGGUACCUGACUAAGAAGCCCCGGCUAACUACGUGCCAGCAGCCGCGGUAAUACGUAGGGGGCAAGCGUUAUCCGGAUUUACUGGGUGUAAAGGGAGCGCAGGCGGGACUGCAAGUUGGAUGUGAAAUACCGUGGCUUAACCACGGAACUGCAUCCAAAACUGUAGUUCUUGAGUGAAGUAGAGGCAAGCGGAAUUCCGAGUGUAGCGGUGAAAUGCGUAGAUAUUCGGAG
rnacentral:rRNA from 1 species